AAUGUUAGAACUCCAGAAGGUUCAGGUUUUUUCGCUCUCUCGCUUCUCCUUAGAUACGCGGCAAGGAUUGAUUUCUAUGGCAAAGGGAUUGAUUUUUGAUAAAUUACAGAUUUGCCUGAUAAGGUUGGGUAUAAUCCUCGGCUCUUCCUCUUUCUGGAAGUAUCAAUCUGCACUAACAUCUCUACACCGACAUGCAUCAACUCUUCUUGCAGACUAUCAAGCUAAUAAAACCUCUUUUCUGUUGAAACGGAAGAAAAGAAGAGAAGAAGAAGAAGAGGUACUUUACCUGUAAAUUGAUCAUCCCAGUUGAUUCCUUUCAUCUUCGGGGAGCCGCUACUACCAUCUAGAUUCACUGUUAGUCAAGGUCAACCUGAACAAUCGAAAUCAAGAACAGUGAAAGCUUGUCAUCAUGUUGGAAGGGAGUGUGAAAAGAGAAGAGGUAAUCGUUCACAGCGACCGUUGCGUUAUCAUUUAUCUACUCAAAAAAGGUAAUCGUUGGUGACUUCCUCUUCCGUCUUAAUAUGGUGUUUGAAUGAUUGAUUACUGAUUCGCUGUUUCAUUGUCUUAUGUUUGAUGCUCGGGUUGGACUGAAAGUCAGUAAGAGAGUUGGUUGUUGAAGUUUUAGAUUAAAAUCCGUGUAUACAUAUGUAUAUAAUAUUUUAUGUAUGUAUAUAUAUGAUUGUUGUCAUCAUCAAUCCAGUAGUUCUGAUAUUUUUUGAUGAAAUUUGCCAAUUUUUCAUUCUCUAUACAAAAUUGAUCUACUAUUUCAUAUGUUGAAGUAGAAAUAAAAUGCCUAAUUUGUAAUACAGUUUAUGAUGUUCGAAAGAAGAAGUUAUUGAGAAAAUAAAGUUUUAUACAUGACUCAUUGCCUUUGCUGCCAUCCCUUUGGUUUAUUUCCAUGUAGAAUUUGCGGUAGUUACAUAAUUACCUUUGUAUGGGCUGCCUUUCCAUAGGUAUUUCCUACACACUAACUAUUGAAUUUGAAGUUUGUAUACAUAUAUAUACACACAAAAUUUUAUAUGUGUGUGUGUUAUAAUAAUAAUCAUCAUCAUCAACUCAUUCCUUUUGGUGUUUAUUGAUGAUACUUGCCAACUCUUUGUUUUCUAAACAAAAUUGACGAUCGAAAGAUAGACAGGGAAAAAAAGAGAGAGAGAGAACAGUUUUUCUUCUCUUUGUUAAAUCUGAAAUUUUAGAGUCUGUGAUUUUGAUCUGUUGUUGGGCAUCUGUCCCACCUUCUUCUUCAUGAGCAGAGUUUCAAUGCUGAAGAAGGUAUAACUAAUGAUGAGAUUGACGACUUAUACAGUAUACUUAAUGGACUACUUUGUUUAUUCGUCUCCUGUGAUGAUGAAGUCAUAUGGUUUGUUUCUUUGUGAAUGGUUUCUAUGCCUUUGUUGUGUGAUCAAACUGCUUUGGUGGAAACAGAAAGUGCCUUCUAGGUGAUUGAGCAAACAAGAAAAAGACAAUUUUGUGUCUUUCUUUGUUUGGGCAUCGUUACUCAGACACAUUGCUGUCUAAGUUAAUCAGGGCGUCGCACUGUGCAACUGUUCAUUCGAGGCGCUACUGUUCAUUCGAGCCUGAAUUGAAUGACGAUUUUGCCCUUGGUGGUUACGUGAAUUACAGUUGCCCAAUUUUUAUAUUUUUAGCGUCGUGUCGUUCAGCAGAAGAGACUGGAAACGCAAAGGGGAUAGGUGGUGGUUGGUCCUUUCACUAAUCGAAAGAAAGACUGAAGCGAGUAGAUCUUGCGUUCUUGGAAUCGAAAGAAGAAUAGAAAAGGUUUUUGAUUGAAGGGGUGGUUGAGGAUAGCUGGUAUUGCGCUUGAAAGAAAGAUUGAGGGGAGUAGAUUUCUUUUCUAUUAUAUAUGUUUUCAGAAAAUGGUGGCAUGAUGUUUUGGAAUAGGUAGAUUCAAGUGUACCUUCUUUAGGAGCAGAAAGUACAUACAAUUUAGAAAAAUGGAGAUUAAUAGUUUAUAGUGGUCAACAUGACCAUUGAAUCUGGAUUUUUUUUCUUCAGAGAUCCCUCUUAGCUGUGGGAUAUGCAGUUUCUCUUUUCAUUUGCGGAUUGAUUUGACUGUACUGACUACAAUUGGAACAAUUUUUUUUAACACAAAACUCAUAAACUUAAAUAAAAAUACCAGUACAUAUGUAUAAAUAGAAACAUCUAUUAGUUCAUUUACCAGUGGGCAAUAUUUGAUUCUAUCUGGGUGUACAUUUGAUUCUGUCUGGGUUCUUUUAUUUAAUAAUAUCAUAGAGCUCUAGCUUUAUUAAAUCGACAGUUAACUUCUCUUAGAGGAAAGACAGAGAGUUCAAGGUCUGCAUCAAGUUGGCAAACAAGCCCGACCUUUAUCAAGCAAUUUAAUUCCUAGAUGCUGUAUUUUCAAGCAAAGGGAAUGAAUUUGAUUUGGAGAAAUACUGAUGGACCAAGGGAUAUUGUUUAAUGUUUAUGAGCCAAACAAUAACAAUCUGAAGUUUGGACUGAAAGACUCAAAAGAAAUUGUAGACCAGCUCCAAUGGCAUGGGUUCUCUCAAGAAGAAUGUGGUAACAUUGAUAGAGUUAACAUUGUGAAAAAACUUCAAAAAGCAAUAUGGUGAAGAUAAUGAAACUACUGGAGAGCAGAUAAAGACUCUAGAUAUAGCAGUACCUGAAGGUGGGAUUCACAUGAAGAUGGCAUUCAUUUAUGGGAAUGAUAGAGAACUUUUUGUUGCAUGCGAUUAUUUAGCUAUUUCACAUUCUUCUGUACACUGGAUUUGAAUAGCUUGAAUUCACUUUCAGAUUUAAUAUAUUAUGAUCCUGUUGAUGUUC